rnacentral:rRNA from 1 species
GAGUCAAAAAGACCGCGAAACCGUUAGGAGGGAAACGAAUGCAGCUGAAGUGGCUCCGUAUCGGGUUCAGGGGACGUCGGAGGAUGUUCCGGGUUGCCGGUAGCCCUGGGCGCCGCGGCUCGGAGACGCCGACGACAACCCUGCACUCCCGUGUGGAGCCGGCCAACAGCAGUUGUUUCUGGCCCAGAAGGUCGGUCGGGAGGUGCCUCUGCACUCGUGCAGAGAACGUACAGCCGUUCGUCCGGUGGUCUGGGAGCGACUGAGGAGAGCCGUGAAUUUUCACGCGUGCAGCGCAGGCCCUUCGGGGCCGGGCCGCCUCUUUCCGUUUGGGCCCCGCGGUGGGGACUGCGUGCAGUGUCCGCUGACGGUUCGUCUGCUCGGUCGGGGGGUCGGUCACGCCUUGCGCUCAGGUUGUUGGUGCUAAAAUGGCUGCAUC